rnacentral:rRNA from 1 species
AACGCGAAGAACCUUACCCAGGCUUGACUUCCUGCGAAUUUCUCCGAAAGGAGAGAGUGCUUUUAUUAGAGCGCAGUGACAGGUGGUGCAUGGCCGUCGUCAGCUCGUGUCGUGAGAUGUUUGGUUAAGUCCAUCAACGAGCGCAACCCUUAUGUUUAGUUGAAUUUUUCUAAACAGACUGCCCUGGUAACAGGGAGGAAGGAGGGGAUGAUGUCAGGUCCGUAUCUCCCUUACGUCUGGGGCCACAGACACGCUACAAUGGCCGAUACAAAGGGCAGCCAAGUCGCGAGACGGAGCUAAUCCCAUCAAAAUCGGUCUCAGUUCGGAUAGUAGGCUGAAACUCGCCUGCUUGAAGCUGGAAUCGCUAGUAACGGUAAGUCAGCAUAUUACCGUGAAUACGUUCCCGGGCCUUGUACACACCGCAUAC